CAGCCAUGCCGCGUGAAGUGAUGAAAGGCCUCUGGGUUGUAAACUUCUUUUAUCUGGGAAAAAACCACCUUUUUCUAAAGGUGUUGACGGUACCACAGGAAUAAGCACCGGCUAACUCCGUGCCAGCGGCCGCGGUAAUACGGAGGGUGCGGGCGUUAUCCGGAUUCACUGGGUUUAAAGGGUGCGGAGGCGGAUUAUUAAGUCCGUGGUGAAAUCUCCCAGCUUAACUUGGAAACUGCCAUGGAUACUAUUAGUCUUGAAUGUUGUGGAGGUUAGCGGAAUAUGUCAUGUAGCGGUGAAAUGCAUAGAUAUGACAUAGAACACCAAUUGCGAAGGCAGCUGGCUACACAAAUAUUGACGCUGAGGCACGAAAGCGUGGGGAUCAAACAGGAUUAGAUACCCUGGUAGUCCACGCCCUAAACGAUGAUUACUCGACAUUUACGAUACACAGCAAGUGUCUGAGCGAAAGCAUUAAGUAAUCCACCUGGGAAGUACGACCGCAAGGUUGAAACUCAAAGGAAUUGACGG
rnacentral:rRNA from 1 species